rnacentral:tRNA from 1 species
GCCGGGGUGGUGGAACUGGCAGACACACAGGACUUAAAAUCCUGUGGGGGUUUCCCCCGUGCGGGUUCGAGCCCCGCCCCCGGCA